UACGAAGGGGGCUAGCGUUGCUCGGAAUCACUGGGCGUAAAGGGUGCGUAGGCGGGUCUUUAAGUCAGGGGUGAAAUCCUGGAGCUCAACUCCAGAACUGCCAUUGAAACUGUUUAGCUGGAGUAUGAGAGAGGUGAGUGGAAUUCCCAGUGUAGAGGUGAAAUUCGUAGAUAUUGGGAAGAACACCGGUGGCGAAGGCGACUCACUGGACACGUAUUGACGCUGAGGUGCGAAAGCGUGGGGAGCAAACAGGG
rnacentral:rRNA from 1 species